GCAUUAGUGUCAGAGUAAUAUGAGUUGAUUUUAAGCGUCAAAUACAGGUAGUUCCUCUAGUGCU
rnacentral:tRNA from 1 species